CCUACGGGCGGCAGCAGUGGGGAAUAUUGGACAAUGGGGGGAACCCUGAUCCAGCCAUGCCGCGUGUGUGAAGAAGGCCCUCGGGUUGUAAAGCACUUUCAGUGAGGAAGAACGCCUGGUGGUUAAUACCCAUCAGGAAAGACAUCACUCACAGAAGAAGCACCGGCUAACUCCGUGCCAGCAGCCGCGGUAAUACGGAGGGUGCGAGCGUUAAUCGGAAUUACUGGGCGUAAAGCGCGCGUAGGUGGCUUGAUAAGCCGGUUGUGAAAGCCCCGGGCUCAACCUGGGAACGGCAUCCGGAACUGUCAAGCUUGAGUGCAGGAGAGGAAGGUAGAAUUCCCGGUGUAGCGGUGAAAUGCGUAGAGAUCGGGAGGAAUACCAGUGGCGAAGGCGGCCUUCUGGACUGACACUGACACUGAGGUGCGAAAGCGUGGGUAGCAAACAGGAUUAGAUACCCUGGUAGUC
rnacentral:rRNA from 1 species